CUUUACACAUGCAGUUGUACGGUCUCUGAAAAUUGGGGUAGUAACGAACGGGUGAGUAAUUUGCAAGAAUUGACAUUUAGGAGGUGAACAACAUUUGGAAACGAGUGCUAAUGCGCCAUAAUGCUAUAAAGUUAAAGAUACACAAUAUCGCCUAGAUACAAGCUUGCAACUGAUUAGCUUGUUGGUGGGGUAAUGGCUUACCAAGGCUUUUAUCAGUAGCUGGUCUUAGAGGAUGUACAGCCACACUGGAAAUGAGAUAUGAACAGACUCCUACGGGAGGCAGCAGUGAGGAAUCUUCCGCAAUGAGUGAAAGCUUGACGGAGCAAUGCCGCGUGGAGGAUGAAGGCCUUAGGGUUGUAAUCUCCUUUUCUCACAGAAGAAUUUUUGACGGUAUUUGAGGAAUAAGCAUCGGCUAACUUCGUGCCAGCAGCCGCGGUAAUACGAGGGAUGCAAGCGUUAUCCGGAAUUAUUGGGCGUAAAGCGUUUGUAGGCGGGCGGGUGUGUUUAAUGUUAAAUCUUAAAGCUCAACUUUGAAAUUGCGUUAAAAACUGCUUGUCUUGAGUAUGGUAGGGGUAAAGGGAAUUCCCAGUGUAGCGGUGAAAUGCGUAGAUAUUGGGAAGAACACUAAACAGCGAAGGCACUUUACUAGGCUAAUACUGACGCUGAGAAACGAAAGGUAAGGUAGCGAAACGGAUUAGAUACCCGUGUAGUCUUACCCGUAAACUAUGGACACUAAACGGUAAAUUUUUAAUUUACUGUUAAAGCUAACGCGUUAAGUGUCCCGCCUGGGGAGUAUGCUUGCAAAAGUGAAACUCAAGGAAUUGACGGGGGCCCGCACGAGCGGUGGAGCAUGUGGUUUAAUUCGACGGUACACGAAGAACCUUACCAGGAUUUGACAUGCUAGAUAGUUGCUUGAAAGAGUAACGUGCCGUAAGGGAUCUAGACACAGGUGCUGCAUGGCUGUCGUCAGCUCGUGUCGUGAGAUG
rnacentral:rRNA from 1 species